UGGGGAAUUUUGGACAAUGGGCGCAAGCCUGAUCCAGCCAUGCCGCGUGCGGGAAGAAGGCCUUCGGGUUGUAAACCGCUUUUGUCAGGGAAGAAAUCUUCUGAGUUAAUACCUCGGGAGGAUGACGGUACCUGAAGAAUAAGCACCGGCUAACUACGUGCCAGCAGCCGCGGUAAUACGUAGGGUGCAAGCGUUAAUCGGAAUUACUGGGCGUAAAGCGUGCGCAGGCGGUUUUGUAAGACAGAGGUGAAAUCCCCGGGCUCAACCUGGGAACUGCCUUUGUGACUGCAAGGCUUGAGUGCGGCAGAGGAGGAUGGAAUUCCGCGUGUAGCAGUGAAAUGCGUAGAUAUGCGGAGGAACACCGAUGGCGAAGGCAAUCCCCUGGGCCUGCACUGACGCUCAUGCACGAAAGCGUGGGGAGCAAACAGGAUUAGAUACCCUGGUAGUCCACGCCCUAAACGAUGUCAACUGGUUGUUGGGAAGGUUCCUUCUCAGUACGUAGCUAACGCGUAAGUUGACCGCCUGGGGAGU
rnacentral:rRNA from 1 species